rnacentral:rRNA from 1 species
AACGAACGCUGGCGGCAGGCCUAACACAUGCAAGUCGAGCGCCCCGCAAGGGGAGCGGCGGACGGGUGCGUAACGCGUGGGAAUAUGCCCUUUGCUACGGAAUAGUCUCGGGAAACUGGGGGUAAUACCGUAUACGCCCUUUGGGGGAAAGAUUUAUCGGCGAAGGAUUAGCCCGCGUUGGAUUAGGUAGUUGGUGGGGUAAUGGCCUACCAAGCCGACGAUCCAUAGCUGGUUUGAGAGGAUGAUCAGCCACACUGGGACUGAGACACGGCCCAGACUCCUACGGGAGGCAGCAGUGGGGAAUCUUAGACAAUGGGGGCAACCCUGAUCUAGCCAUGCCGCGUGAGUGAUGAAGGCCUUAGGGUUGUAAAGCUCUUUCAGCUGGGAAGAUAAUGACGGUACCAGCAGAAGAAGCCCUGGCUAACUCCGUG